rnacentral:rRNA from 1 species
CCCGGGCCUUGUACACACCGCCCGUCACACCAUGGGAGUGGGUUGUACCAGAAGUAGAUAGCUUAACUGAAAGGGGGCGUUUACCACGGUAUGAUUCAUGACUGGGGUGAAGUCGUAACAAGGUAACCGUAGGGGAACCUGCGGUUGGAUCACCUCCUUA